GACAUGCGGUGGCCUAAUGGUUAGCGCGUUGCACUCCGGAUCGAGCGAUCCAGGUUCGACUGAGCUCUGGCCGGGUCA